rnacentral:rRNA from 1 species
CUCCAAGUUAAGUUGGACCGAUCCUAUUCCCUUCCGUAAGGUAACCUGCGGAAGGAUCAUUAGUGAAUCUAGGACGUCCACUUAACUUGGAGUCCGAACUCUCACUUUCUAACCCUGUGCAUCUGUUUUAAAAUUGGCUAGUAGCUCUUCGGAGCGAACCACCAUUUUUCACUUAUACAAACACAAAGUCUAUGAAUGUAAACAAAUUUAUAACAAAACAAAACUUUCAACAACGGAUCUCUUGGCUCUCGCAUCGAUGAAGAACGCAGCGAAAUGCGAUACGUAAUGUGAAUUGCAGAAUUCAGUGAAUCAUCGAAUCUUUGAACGCACCUUGCGCUCCUUGGUAUUCCGAGGAGCAUGCCUGUUUGAGUGUCAUGAAAUCUUCAACCCACCUCUUUCUUAGUGAAUCUGGUGGUGCUUGGUUUCUGAGCGCUGCUCUGCUUCGGCUUAGCUCGUUCGUAAUGCAUUAGCAUCCGCAACCGAAACUUCGGAUUGACUUGGCGUAAUAGACUAUUCGCUGAGGAUUCCAGACUUGUUCUGGAGCCGAGUUGGGUUAAAGGAAGCUUCUAAUCCUAAAGUCUAUUUUUUGAUUAGAUCUCAAAUCAGGUAGGACUACCCGCUGAACUUAAGCAUAUCAAAAGCGGGGGAAGC